rnacentral:tRNA from 1 species
AUUUAUGUAGUUUAUAAAAACAUUACAUUUUCAAUGUAAAAAUAAAAGAUAUCUUUUCAUAAAUA